rnacentral:misc_RNA from 1 species
UCCGGUUUGUCACCGGCGGUCUCCUUAGAGUUCCCACCAUUACGUGCUGGCAACUAAGGACAAGGGUUGCGCUCGUUGCGGGACUUAACCCAACAUCCCACGACACGAGCUGACGACAGCCAUGCAGCACCUGUCUCCGGUCCAGCCGAACUGAAGGACUCCGUCUCUGGAAUCCGCGACCGGGAUGUCAAGGGCUGGCAAGGUUCUGCGCGUUGCGUCGAAUUAAACCACAUGCUCCACCGCUUGUGCGGGCCCCCGUCAAUUCCUUUGAGUUUUAGCCUUGCGGCCGUACUUCCCAGGCGGGGCACUUAAUGCGUUAGCUACGGCACGGAGCCCGUCGAUCGAGCCCCACACCUAGUGCCCAACGUUUACGGCGUGGACUAC